rnacentral:rRNA from 1 species
UGGGGAAUAUUGCACAAUGGGCGCAAGCCUGAUGCAGCCAUGCCGCGUGUGUGAAGAAGGCCUUCGGGUUGUAAAGCACUUUCAGCGGGGAGGAAGGCGAUAAGGUUAAUAACCUCAUCGAUUGACGUUACCCGCAGAAGAAGCACCGGCUAACUCCGUGCCAGCAGCCGCGGUAAUACGGAGGGUGCAAGCGUUAAUCGG